rnacentral:rRNA from 1 species
UGUCCGUCGUCGACGCGUCAGAGAGUUAGUAUCAUGGCUCAGGACGACGCUGGCGGCAUGCCUAACACAUGCAAGUCGAACGGGGGUAGCAAUACCCUAGUGGCGAACGGGUGAGUAACACAUAAGCAAUCUGCCCUUCACAGGGGGAUAACAGCGGGAAACUGCUGCUAAUACCGCAUAAGACCACGGUACCGCAUGGUACAGGGUAAAAACGAAUCAGUGGUGAAGGAUGAGCUUAUGUCCCAUUAGCUAGUUGGUGAGAUAACAGCCCACCAAGGCGUCGAUGGGUAGCCGACCUGAGAGGGUGAUCGGCCACACUGGAACUGAGACACGGUCCAGACUCCUACGGGAGGCAGCAGUGGGGAAUAUUGGGCAAUGGAAGGAAACUCUUACCCAGCAAUGCCGCGUGAGUGAAGAAGGUCUUCGGAUUGUAAAGCUCUUUGAUUGGGGACGAAGAAAGUGACGGUACCCAAAGAACAAGCCCCGGCUAACUACGUGCCAGCCGCGGC